rnacentral:tRNA from 1 species
GCGCCGUUAGCUCAGCUGGAUAGAGCGUUCGGCUACGGACCGAAAGGUCAGGGGUUCGAAUCCCUUACGGCGCACCA